UACGAAGGGUGCUAGCGUUGUUUCGGAAUCACUGGGCGUAAAGCGCGCGUAGGCGGCGAUACAAGUCAGAGGUGAAAGCCUGGAGCUCAACUCCAGAAUUGCCUUUGAAACUGCAUUGCUAGAGUGUCGGAGGGGAUAGCGGAAUUGCUAAUGUAGAGGUGAAAUUCGUAGAUAUUAGCAGGAACACCGGUGGCGAAGGCGGCUAUCUGGACGACAACUAACGCUGAGGCGCGAAAGCGUGGGGAUCAAACAGG
rnacentral:rRNA from 1 species